UUCGGUAUCCUGUGUUGCUUACCUAUCGAAAGGAAUCCGACGGUCUCGCUUGUCCCCCUCCGCCCCCAGCCCUCGCGGGUUGUGGGGCGGACACGAGGCACGCCCCGUGCUCCCGGCAAGCCUCGCCAAGUCGCUUGGCUGCUUCGGCCCACGGUGUGCUCUGCCCGUUCUCUCGGAUGCAGAACGUUACGCGCGGGCGUGGGGUCUUCCGGCUCUGUUUGCCCAAGCAACAACGCAUCUGUCCCUCGACGCGAACGACUGCCGUGCCCGUCUUGAGCCCGCGGCCUCACGGCCCGUCGGGCGUCAUGCGGGCGUCGGCGUCGCGAAGGAACGCUACCUGGUUGAUCCUGCCAGUAGUCAUAUGCUUGUCUC
rnacentral:misc_RNA from 2 species